UUUCUUUGUUGCAAUGGUGGGGUGUGAGAUAAUACUUCAGGAGACUGCGGCGAGAGCCGCAGCUAAUGCCAUUUUUUAUUGUUUGUCGUUAUUAAUAGUGUUUUAAACUAAGGAUGAAAGUGACAAAGAGCUUGAGGACUUGCAUGGCUCCCAGGCCCUGGAUGCCGGCUGGCGGCAUCGAACACACAGAACCAAGAAGUCUGAGGGCAGCCGGGUGAUGCCUGAGGCCUCGAGCGCCAGACACGGGUGGAUAGUUUGAAGAUAUUGGCCUACCAAGAUGACAACAGGCUUAAAAAAUAAAAUUCAUAAGAAGUUACUUUUUCAGGCUUUCUUAUGGUACGUGCUGAAAACCCCAGAAGGUCACUCCCACCCACUCUGUCUCUCAGGGUCCCUUCCCCUGAUAAAUUCACUGUGUAAUGUAGUGUAUAGUCUUCAUUUUGUAGUCUUAGAAUUUAAGUGAAAAUAUCACCCUCAUGAGCACAGGUCAUUUUACUAACUUAUCUCAGUUUGGUGUCUACCUAUAAUUUAUCAUUUAUCUCAAUUACUUUCAUAAUUCAGGUAUUAUAGUAGCCCUACAACUUAUUACUGCUUAGAAAUGCGUUCAUGGUUGAGGAUACAUUAUAUAUUUUUUGCUAUUUAUAUACCUUCCAAAGUCUAACUAAAAAGCCACUUUAUUUUUGUUUCCCCUCUCACCUCUUUCAGGCAGAUCUUUCUUUUGUCCUCACACAGUAACUUUGUUCGAACAGCUACCCUAUUAUAUUAUAUCAGUGCUACAUAUGUCUAUUUUACUGAUAGAUUUUGUGAAUAUUUUUGAUGUGGUGAAUACCAUUUUAAUCAUUAUUUUAGUACCAGGCUGACACAUAAUAGUUGCUUAAUAAGUGUUGAUUACUUGAACCAUAUUUUCCUUCAGUAAAUAAUUUUUACAGUUCUGUGAUUCAGUAAAUGAUAAACUCAAGUAACGUUUGUACCCCACAUUUAAGGUCUGCAGUACAUUCUAUAGCAUCUAUAGAAAUUUUUCCUUUCAUUUUGCUGUUGUUUCAGUGCACAAGAUUGAAUCUGAAAUUGUUUUAAAGUCAAGUCAAAAUGAGAUACAACUGAAGCUUGGCUUUUAGAAAGUUUCCUUAGGAUGUUGAGAGCUCCCAGAAACUAAAGGGUUCAUUAAACUACUGGUACAUAGAAUAAGCCUCUAAGGAAUAUUUUAAUACUUAUCAGAGCAGAACUGACUAAGCUUCAUUACUUAUUUUUAUUUCAGAGCAAUCCCAUGUAAUUUUCCUGAAAUGGGACAAAACUUACUGGGGAAGAAAUUUUCCGUGGUGUUCCCUUUUCUUCGUUGCUCAUUGGAUGUAAAUAAAACCAUCAUGGUUGUGAAGAU